rnacentral:rRNA from 1 species
UUAUGCUCAAUCAACAAAAAGAAUCUCUCUUGCAAGCUUCACGGCUUGCAAGAAGAAUCGGUCUUGGUGAACCUGAGUACAAGCUUCGGAGCAAACGAUUCUAGUGGAGCAUAAAGGGUAAUGCGAUGUGUAUUUCUAACGAUUCUCUUCUCGGACCUCCAAUCAGAUAAGACUACCCGCUGAAUUUAAGC